rnacentral:lncRNA from 1 species
GGACAGUCCAUGCAGAAAAAGGGAGCAGAUUUCUUGUGAAAGGGAGUUCUGUGGGGGAAGGAACUUCUAUUCCAGGUGGAGGGGAGCAGAUUCCAGGUCCUGGCCAUCCCUGGGGAGAAAGGGAGCUCCAUUCCCUGCACGUGGAGAGGCUCCUGAGGAGAUUUCCUGCUGGGUCUGGGUUAUGUUGGUUCACUUUGGCUCCUGCCCUGGAUGCCACUUCCAUGACAUCACUUGGCCGUGGCAGCGUGGAGGAGCUGUGAUGGUUUUGGGCUCCCAGGGAGAGCAGGGGAUUGUCCUGGCUCCUGCUGGCAGCCCCUGGGAGAUGUUGGUGUGUCUGCAGUGCCAGUGUCCCUCGCUCAGGAGAUCCCAGAAGCUCCUCCCCAGAUGCAGGAGGGAAGGAAGGAUGUGUUUUAUCAAAGUCAGUCCCUGCUGUUUGAGUUCCUGCUCUGGAGCUUGAUAUCAUCUCAAAACCAACACGGGAGGUAAACAAUGACUCUGCUUUGCUCUGAGUCCUUUCUCUUUCUCCUCUUAUUUAACUUUUCAAUUACUCCAACUGUGGCUGGGGCUGGGAGUCCCAGCAGAUGUGAGGAUGUGUUUGGGGGAGGCUCUGCUGCCUCCUGGAAUCCCGCAGAAGCCGAAGAGAGCAGGAAAUCUUUUUCUACGGCAGCCGAAAGGACUCCUCCUUUAAUAACAACCCAAGGUGUGAAAAACCCCUCUGGUAUUUAUGAGCAGAUGUGAUUCAGGACUAAUAAAGACCUGGGAACCUGUCA